AAAAAACACUAACGGAGUCGAACCGGACCCACCUCCCUCGUUCUCUGCGGCGAGCCGGCGACGGUUGCUCCCCCCUCGCAAGCAGAUCCUGACCUCACCAAGCCGGCUCAUCUCGCCGGACGUCGCCUCCUCUCCCCCUCGAUCCGCCCGCUGCGUCGCCUCCUUCUAUCCCUCCUCCUCGCCCACCCCCCCCUCCGACCGCCGCCUCAUAUCGUUCAGCACGGCGGCGGGCUAGCAGCGCGUGCGACGGCGGUUCUUGAGGCUCUCUGCAGCGACUAUUUGUUUACUCAUAUCUGAGUAAAACUGUAAAACUGGUCUGAGAAUAUUGGUAUCGGGAACAGCUGAUGGCCUCAAGUACUGUGAUCUUAUGGAAGGGAGGGGCCCAGCCGCUGAGAAGGGCUCAACAGUAGAGCAUCACCGCUGUGUCGAGCCGUGAGGCUCAGCUCCUGGCGGGCAACCAGAGUAGCGCACAGGUUAUGUGGCAAACCAGAGCUGACUUUGAAGGAUUGGAGGAUGAGGUGCUGUUUUGUGUUCAUUAGCUAUUGGGAGCGCCUCAUCAAUCAAACAUGUCAGACAUGUUGGAUAUUGCUGUAGACUACAUCAAAGUGUCGCAGGAUCAAAUUGACGUAUGCUCCACAGCUGUUCUAUCUUACACACAACUCCAGAAGUCCUUGUUAAAAAGAUAUCUUUUAGCUUGAUACCAUGGGGAUCCUCCAUCAGUGAAGAAUGUACAUGUAUAUUAUUUUGAUGGACCAUUUGACGAGGUUACCUCUCUUGGACAUGGUAAAAUAAAAUUUGUCAAAUCAAACUUGUCAGAGCAUGGAUUCCUCUUCAAGGUAACCUGGCUAAGUCCAUGCAGUCUAAGUUCCACCUGAGAUUUUUUUUAACAACUUAAAAAGGGCACUGGUAUUUCCUCUGGUAUGGUCUAUGGUGAUCGAGUAUCUGAGCAAAAUGGAGAAAGAAGCUGUAAGAAGUUAAGUAUUUUUCUUACCAUCUUCUUGGAAUCAUACUGUUGCUAUGUGAUUUCCCCCUAAUUUGCUAUUGGUUAUUGCUGCCAGAUGCGUCUGCGAUCUCCUCGAACUAAUACUGGAUUCCAGGAGCUCUUAUCUCAGAGAGCCAACGGAUGCCGGAAAGAACGACUACUAAAACCAUUGCUGCAACCCAACCUCUCCUCAACACCACCGUCAUCGGUACAACCUCACCAUGUGCCACGAACCUAUUAACUUCCUUGACCAGAUGGCAGGCCGUGCCUUGAUAUGUCAACCUUGAUGGUGAUGGACACCAUUCACAACAGACGUGCACAAUGCAGUUGGUCUGCACAAGAAUGGGUAGGUUCGUCCACUAUGAAGCUGAAGCAAUGUGUUUCAUCGUUGUACUAAUUAAAGCCUUUAGAGCUUCCGAUCAUGGACAAGUUGUCGCUACCCACCAAAGAAGAUUUUAUCGGUCUCAUCACCGAGUACCAUCCUAGUUCCAAGUUGUGCAUUGACCAUCAUCCAAACUUCCGACGUUGCGUUCAUAAAGUUGCCGAAUAGCCGUUCAGGUACUGGGGGUUAAGUUUCUCAUCGAGUUCUUGUCAGCAAACGACCAGACUUCUAUCAUCACCUCCCUGCAGGUCUUAUUAGCUGUUGUAGGGCAGGCGAACAAAGCAUGAAUUCAUGCUCUGAUCCUCAACACCACAGAGGCUGCAGAUUGCCAAAACGUCAAUAUGACGCCUGUUCUUAUGGUUUAGGGUGUACUAUCUGAUAUGGUUUUUCUGGUUUUCUUACUUCACUAGUCACUAUAUACACUACCUUGAAAGCCCUGCGACGUUAACACUGUAUAUAUGAUGAAUGCACCAAUUGUUUAAUCUCACAUGGUGCGGUGAUUAGAGCAAGCA